GAACCUUGCCUGCACCACUGUGUAAUCCAGGCUUUCUGAUGCUGAUGCCACCCUGGUUCCCUGCUGGGUGUCGGCAGGGGCUCCGGCCAGGGGAGACCGUCCCUUGCCCGGUUUCCUAGGGAUCAGGGUGGUGGAGCCAGGGCAGCCGCUGCCCCACGGCCCGAGCAAAGUUGUUUUUAGAGUGACCCUGAGCCACGGCUGGCCGCCACCCAGCUGGGUAUCUCUCGGGCUUCCAGGCUUGGCUCCCCGGUGACCGGCUGGGUCCAGAUCACCCUGGAUCUGCCACUCACACAUGUGCCGGGGAGGGCAACAGAAAGGGAAGACGAGAGAGGGCAGUAAAUGAGGGCAGGGAGAUGCAGCCUGUUGAAAUUCUAGACUCACCAGGAGCCAAGUGGGCCGGGAGGCUGGCCUUGCUGGCUGUGCUCAGCAGGAACCCAGUGGGCAGAAAUCCCACUGCCCAGCUCUCCUGGGGCGGGGGUAGAAGGGCAGACUGUAACUCUGUAGUCGUAUUGUGAAGACGAAGGAGGAAACCAGAGCAGCUGAUCCGGCCUGGAUCCCAGUGCCCACGUGCGCACAGAUAGGCCUUUGUGUCCCGGGCCCAGACAACAGGCCACAUUCUUCCCCCACCUCAGUGACGUCCUUCACGGACAUGUCCCCAGAGCACAUUUUCAAAGGAUUAAUCAGCUAUGGAUCAGAUGACACGGCAUUCCCUCUGCUACCCCCUCUCUGCCCAGGCUGCGCCUUCUCUUUGUCGUCUCCGAGCACAGAGCGGGUGGCCGACCCCAGCCCCGCCGACCGGCUGCUUCCAGCGGCCCCUGCACCGCUGUAGGUCUACGAACUUCAACACAUAUAUGGAUUGACAUAACCACCACCACAAGCAGGGUACCGAACACAUCCCAUCAGCGGAAAAUUCUCCCUGGGGCUCUGCCUUCUUGGUCACACCCACCCUCACCUUCUCCUAACCUCUGACAACACUGAGCUGUUCUCCGUCUCCAUAGCUUGGUCUUCUCAAGAACGUCCUAUAAAUGGAAUGAGACAGUAUGUAAGCUUGUUUUACAUUAAAUUUUUAAUCUUGAGGCAAACGUGGGUUCAUGCAGCAGUAAAGAAUAAUAUAGAGAUUCCAUGUACCCUUUUUCGACUAAUCCAUUAACGGUACUGGCUUGCAAAACGAUAGUGUAAUACCACAGCCAGAACACUGACGGGACAGGGUCAAGUUAUAGACAUUUCCAAACCCACAACAAUCUCUCCUA